CUUUUAAAUAAGAAACAUUUAAUUUCCAACUCUUACAUCAGUUCUCUCUCUCUCUCUCUCUCUCUCUCUCUCCCCCCUCCUUUAAAAUUCCUAAGCUUCAACCAUUUUUAUACAAACCCCAGUUUAGAUAAAACCUCCAAUCUCCUGAUUCAAACGGCCUUCAUAGUCUUUCUUUCCUUGAUAAUGUCUACAUUGUGGUAAUUCAAUCCAGUCAUUUGGGCUUUCUUUGUGAUGGAACGCAGCCAGCAUUUCCAUUAUCUGUUUCCAUUUUAUGCUUGUACAAUUGCUAGCCUUUCUUUGCAUUAAAUUCUUAUAAUCCACAUAUAUCGUCAAACUCAAAUAGCUUUUUUUUUUGCCCCCCACCCUGUAUUUUCUUUGUGAGCUUUUUCAAAAUAUUAGAAAUCUAGCACAACUUCUUCAAUUCAAUUAAGAUUUUUGAUAUAAAAUUUUAGAUUCACUUCAUGUUUGGCAUCUUUUACUAGUUUCAUUGGCAUGUUUUUACACUCUUUUUCUGUGGAAUUAUUUUUGUUUCAUUCACCAAUGAAAUCUUUCUGACCAUUGAUUUCCAAACUUAUUGGAAUUCCCACUUGUAAUUUAGUACUAAUUAUGGUAGCAACCUAAUUUUACUGAUGGUGGAAUGGUGGAAUUUUAAUCUAGACGUCUGUCAUUAAGUUUGUAGACGUGAAUUGUUGAUGGAUUACCAUUUUCUUUCAGUAUCCAUUGAAAUGAAAGUGGUUAUAACAAUGAUAAUAUUGAUAAUAAUAUUAGAGAUAAUUAUCACAAACCAACUUUAGUCAUUACUUCCCUUGUGUUGCUAUAUGAACAGCAUCAAUUGGUCGCAUUUAAAACUGAUUGCACCUUGUUGUUUUACUGCUAUCAUGAAAACAAACAUUAAGGUAUAGUCUCUUGUUUUCUUUACCCAUUUUAUUAAAAUGACUAAUAACCAAUUAGGUUGUAGACUUUUGUGGGUGCUUUUUUUUUUCUUCUUUUUUUUUUUUUUAGUUUUUUUCUCUCCCCCCAAAUGUUUGUUUCUUUUAUUUUUUACAAUUCUAGUUGUAUUGAGUAGUUUGUUGACCUUUCAUGAUAUAGAUGUUGUGUUACAUGUCCUCCUCUAACUUUCUCUCUCUCUCUCUCUCUCUCUCUCUCUCUCUCUUAAAGGAAAAACAAAAAAGAUCAAUAAAUUAAAUCUGGCCUCACCAA